CUCCACAUGAUAUUUGUCCUGUACCCCAGAGGCCGCAUAUACAACUUGUAGUAAAUACAAUAUUUAAUCAGGCUGCGUUACUCUUAAUCCAAGCUUCCUACUGGAUUGAUGUUUUGUUAGUUCGAGCUGUGUCUGGUGGAGCUGCUAAGACAGAUCUGGUGGCCCGAGUUAAGUGUAAAGCUCCAAGGAAAAUAACAUGUAGUGCAGUUUCUCCUUCUGGCGGCUUUUUUGCUUUUUCUGAUCAUGUAAAAUGCUGCCUUUUUGAGCUUAAGAGAAUUGCUUCCAGUAAGAGUCCAUGGGCAGUCAACAAAAGUCAUCUUCCUUUGGAUCUGCCAUUUGCCCAUUCAAUGGUUUUCAGUGCUGAUUCUUCUCGGUUGAUGAUAGCAGGGUGUGACAGAAGG
rnacentral:misc_RNA from 1 species